rnacentral:rRNA from 1 species
GAUGAACGCUGGCGGCGUGCUUAACACAUGCAAGUCGAACGGAGUGUACUUUUAUUGAGGAUUCGUCUGAUUUAGCUGUACACUUAGUGGCGGACGGGUGAGUAACGCGUGGGUAACCUGCCUCAUACAGGGGGAUAGCAGCUGGAAACGGCUGAUAAAACCGCAUAAGCGCACACUACCGCAUGGUAGAGUGUGAAAAACUCCGGUGGUAUGAGAUGGACCCGCGUCUGAUUAGCUUGUUGGUGAGGUAACGGCCCACCAAGGCGACGAUCAGUAGCCGGCCUGAGAGGGUGAACGGCCACAUUGGGACUGAGACACGGCCCAAACUCCUACGGGAGGCAGCAGUGGGGAAUAUUGCACAAUGGGGGAAACCCUGAUGCAGCGACGCCGCGUGAAGGAUGACGUAUUUCGGUAUGUAAACUUCUAUCAGCAGGGAAGAACAAGUGACGGUA